rfam:Gossypium arboreum cultivar AKA8401 contig_27389_5, whole genome shotgun sequence.
AACCCAUGAUGAGGGCACCUUCUCAAUAAGUCCUUGUAUCUCUCCCAUUCAUCAUAUAAAGUCUCUAAAUCGAUCUGCACAAGGGAAGAGAUAUCAUUCCUGAACUU